ACUCAAAUGAAUUGACGGGGACUCGCACAAGCGGUGGAUUAUGCGGCUUAAUUCGUCGGCAAACGAAGAACCUUACCAAGGUUAGAAAUCCAGCUGCAUCCCUUCCGAAAGGAGGGGAGCCUUCGAGGGUGCUGGACAGGUGAUGCAUGGUCGUCGUCAGUUCGUGGUUUGAACUGUUCCCUUCAGUGGGGUAACGAACGCAACCCCCGUUGCCUGUUGCCUAUAUGGCCAGGCGAGACUGCUCCCUCACGGGAGAGGAAGGUGGGGAUGACGCCAGAUCAGCAUGUCCCUCUGAUACCUUGGGCUGCACGCAUAAUACAAUGGGCGGUACAACGAGAUGCAAUACCGUAAGGUGGAGCCAAUCUUUAUAAAACCGCCCCCAGUACGGAUUGAGGUCUGCAACCGACCUCAUGAAGCCGGAAUCGCUAGUAAUCGCGGGUCAGCUAAACCGCGGUGAAUACGUUCUCGAGUCUUGUACACACCGCCCGU
rnacentral:rRNA from 1 species